GUCUCUACUAAAAAUACAAAAAUUAGCCGGCCGGGCGUAGUGGCGGGCGCCUGUAGUCCCAGCUACUUGGGAGGCUGAGGCAGGAGAAUGGCGUGAACCCGGGAGGCGGAGCUUGCAGUGAGCCGAGAUUGCGCCACUGCACUCCAGCCUGGGCGACAGAGCGAGACUCCGUCUCAAAAAAAAAAAAAAAAAAAAAAAAAAAAAAAAAGUUUAAGUUCUAGUGGUUACUUCUGUGAUUUCAAAUGAAACGCUUAAAGUAUCAUUUCUUUGCUUAUCUCUUCCCUUCUUUCUCCUCAUCCCAGUGCUUGAUGUUUCAUUACAAUUAUUUUUCUUUAUCUCUGUAACUUUCAAUAAUAUACUUGUCUUCCAUUUAUUAGUCUUUUUAAAAUAACUUUUUCUUUUUUCUUUCUUUCUUUCUUUUUUUUUUUUUUUUUGAUACAGAGUCUCACUCUAUCACACAGGCUGGAGGGCAGUGGCAGGAUCUCAGUUCACCCCAACCUUUGCCUCACGGGUUCAAGGGAUUCUCGUGCCUCAGCCUUCCAAGUAGCUGGGAUUACAGGUGUGCGCCAGUACGCCUGGCUAGUUUUAGUAUUUUUUGUUACAGACGGGGUUUCACCAUGUUGGCUGGGCUGGUCUCAAACUUCUGAUCUCAAGUGAUCCAUCUGCCUUGGCCUCCCAAAGUGCUGGGAUUACAGGCAUGAGCCACUGCACCUGGCCUACGUAUUAGGCUUUAUGUAAGAUGUACAUAGUACUCCAUACUCCUUUCCUUUUCCUCCUAUUGAAACUGUUCCUAUAAACUUUAUAAAAUUAAUCAGAGAAGAAGAGAGGGUGAGAAACAUAAAUAAUCCAAGCUUGCACCACAUUCAGCAUUAAUCACUAGGUCACUUUGCUUGCUGACCCCUUCCUCAUAGUUGUUUGGCUAUUGCUUCAGAAUUAUGUGGAGUCUGUUACAAGAUUAUAGUUCCCCUUAACUGCUCUAUAGAUAACAGCUUGAACAUUAUGAAAUGCUAAGUUUUCCCUUCGAGACAUUCUUUCAGGUCCUGCAUACUGAUGAAACUACUGAUGUCAGCUGGUCUGAAGGACCCUACCAGAAGCUAAAUCAUCAAAGAAUGCAAUUUCCAUAUCCUAAUGAUUCAAUCUCCCUUACCCUGACCAAUCAGUGGCCCAAAUUUUCCAGCCCCUUGCCUCCCAGAACCCCAGCCCAGAACUCUUCAGAGAUUUAAGAAUCUCCUCCUACCUCCUGACUCAGCACCAUGUAAUCAUUAAACUCUCUGCUGCAAACU
rnacentral:lncRNA from 10 species